AGUGAACGCUGGCGGUAGGCCUAACACAUGCAAGUCGAACGGCAGCACAGUAAGAGCUUGCUCUUACGGGUGGCGAGUGGCGGACGGGUGAGGAAUACAUCGGAAUCUACUUUUUCGUGGGGGAUAACGUAGGGAAACUUACGCUAAUACCGCAUACGACCUACGGGUGAAAGCAGGGGAUCUUCGGACCUUGCGCGGUUGAAUGAGCCGAUGUCGGAUUAGCUAGUUGGCGGGGUAAAGGCCCACCAAGGCGACGAUCCGUAGCUGGUCUGAGAGGAUGAUCAGCCACACUGGAACUGAGACACGGUCCAGACUCCUACGGGAGGCAGCAGUGGGGAAUAUUGGACAAUGGGCGCAAGCCUGAUCCAGCCAAACCGCGUGGGUGAAGAAGGCCUUCGGGUUGUAAAGCCCUUUUGUUGGGAAAGAAAAGCGGCAGGUUAAUACCCCGCUGUUCUGACGGUACCCAAAGAAUAAGCACCGGCUAACUUCGUG
rnacentral:rRNA from 1 species